UCUUUUUCUGUUUCUUUUCUUUUUUUUUUUUCUUAUUUUCUGUUUCUUAUUUUAGAAUGCUGACAAUACUUUAUUAAAAGUAUUCUCAUCCAAAGUAAUAAUAACAGUUAUGCUCUCUGGCCAAGGGCAGAAGCAGAUGGUGAGCCUCUGAUAAGAAUGAAAACCUGUGACAGAGCUACCCCAGAUUUGUCUCUUACUGCUGGGUCAGUGGGCUAAGGGUGGGGGUGGGGGUGAGGGGGACUUCCCACUUCCAAAAAAAAAAAAAGACAGUAUAUUGGGAUGGGACAGUAUUAAGACAAAAAUAAUUUAAGCAUUUGACCUUUUAAUUUUUAUCUGGAGUGACAAGAUAUUUAUUCUCUUAUGACAUAUAUCCUAAAAAAGAAUGAGGUUUGACCUAGGGCUUUCACAUCCUCCCACGACACACCCCUUGCAUUUUCUUUCUGGUCCCUCCCAGUUGCGUGGCUGUUCAUUUUCAUUGUGCCUGCCAAACCGCCUGACACUCCUGUAAAUCUUGAGGAUUUUCCCCCAGGCCUGGCCACUGGGCAAUUUUUCCUCCCUUUGCUUAAACAUUACUUGAAAUAAGAAGUAAGACAAAAACUUUUCCAAUAUUUUAAAUGUGAUGCUUCAAUUUCAAACACACAGAGAAACAUGACAGCUAAGGAAUUUGACUAUCUUGGAACAAUCUUCUAUCAGAAAAAAAUAAAAGGAAGAGAGGAAAACUGAAAAAAAAAAAAAAAAGUGCACUGCCUUCUUUUACAGGCUUGGAGAAACUACCCAAAAUGAUGAAAACAAAACAAAGAUUUCAUUUCUGUACACGUAUUUAAUAUAAUCUGGCUUUUUGAAAAUUUCAAUUUACCUACAUGUGAAUACGUAAACUGUAAGUUUCAAAAAUAUAUAUAUUUUUAAAGUUCCAGAAAAGUCCUCCCCUUAAUCUCUUUGGGGGCCUCCGUGAGUUUCCAUAGCACUUUACAAAAGAUCUUUAUUGAGGAAAGGAUCGGACAAACUUUCCUUAUAUGUGUGGCGCACACCAUUAAUUGCCCCAUCUCCUUCAGUAAGGCCUUAUUCCUAUGUAAAUACCCUUGCAUAAUGUUACAGGCUAUUGUUAGGCCAGCGCCAGUCAGUCGCCACUUAUAUGCAUUUUUAUUUCAAUCCGCUGCUCAGAAAAUGAAAAGAUGUCUGGACUUAAGCUGUUUACCAACUGGGCCGAAGCUGCAGAGCGGCAAAACUGAAGAAAGCCCCGAGCAACCUCAGGAACAAGCUUUUACAAUGCGAGCAGCCAUUUUCAGUCGAGUUAUUAACCCACCCUGAAACUCUUCUAAGCUAUGCCUUUUUGAAAGAACAAAUGUGCUGAAUCAAACAUGAAUGAGCCAGAACUAUUAAGAGAGAAAUCCUCUAAAGAACUAUUGAACACAACAUAGGUUUGUAAUCAUUUUGUCUCAGUUGCCUGCUACCAACAUUAUCAAGGAUGAUAAUGCUGCCUCCGUUGUGGAUUGGCUCGUAAUUAAACAAUAGUGUGGUACAGUAAAAACACACACACACACACACACACACACACACACACACACACACGCUGAGGAAAGCGGUCUUGAGUUAAUUACCAUCACAAUGCAAUCAAGUACAACAGUCAUAGCUGAAAACCGUUUCUAUUAAAGCUGCUAGACUCAACCUUGCCUCUGCAGGUCAGCGGUGGCACUGAUAACCUUUCCAGCAGACAAAUACAUGUAACAUUGCCUCAUCUAAUUAAAAGCUCAGGGAGGUGUAGAAAAAUACCGGUACAUUGAAUCCAGGCAAAUGAGUGCUGCCUUCGGCUGAUGAAGUUACCAUAUGCUGCUGCUGUUUACUCUGGAAGGAAACUGAGUCACUUAACAUUUCAAUAGGUUAAUCAAUUGACAAUUAAAUGGAGAAAUUGGUUAACUCUGAAAACAAUUAACAUGACACUCCAUUAAGUACACUUUCUAAUUGCCACAGCUGUGAGUAGAAAUCAACGUGCAUGUUAAAGCAUCUAACUGGGGUGGCACUGUUUUUUUGUGUUUGAGAAAACGGAAUUAGCUGAAAAGUCGGGUUUUAUUUUUAUAGAUUAGACAGUAGGAAUUCUAUCAUCAACUGCAGUUUUAGCAGAGGGGAGCUAUGGAUAUUUUUUUUCAUUCUUUUAAGGGCUCAGUUCAAGUUGUUGAAUAUUUAAUUUGCAAUAAUUAAUUAAAAUAGCUCAAACCCCUCCUACCAAAUUACGGGUUGGUGAACAAAAUGGGAAAUCUCUCCUUUUGCCCAUUUUGUGGGUAGAAUUACUUUGCAGGAUCAGGUAUAUUUCAAGGUCUCCUUUCUAGUUAAAACAACACAAUGCAAGUUGUAAAGUCAGGCUUUUUGCGAACGUUUCUGUGAAUGGUUUCUGAUUGCUGGCUGUGUCCCUAACCUCACUGUAAAAUGGUAACAGUAGUGUUUGUUAGUAACAAUUAGGUUGGAAGGCGCUGAUUUUGGAUUUUCACAGACUGUUACAAAUGAUUGCUACCGGCAGUCAUUAAGACGAAGAAUAUGUAUUUACAAAGGAGGUGACAAUUUAAGUAAAUCAUGAAUAUUUCUCCUAUAAAGUGCUAAAUAAGUAUUUUUUGAAUGAAUGGAUAUAUUUAAGAUGUGAUUAUCAAAAGGAUAUAAUCUUCCUCCUCUCCCACCCCUUUUGGUGACUGGAUAUGCAAAAGCGAGUAGGCUAAAUCCUCCUUUAAGGGACCGAUGGUCUGGCGGUGGAGAGGGAGAUCGGCAUUGAAGAAUGAGAGUGUAAAGGAGACAGCCAGUGCAGGACAGGAACACUAAGAAGACAAAGUUUUCUGGUUUGGGGACUGGGUUGGAUGGUGAGGUAAUUAGUCAAAACGGAAAUAAAGAAAGAAUACAUGUUGGGGGUAGGAUAAGGAUAUUAGAUGAUGAGUUUAAUUUAGGGCAUGUUAAGUGUGAAGUGCUAUAGGAUAUGCAGGUGCAGCUGUGAACUAGACAGUUAACUACAUCUCUGUUUCUUGACAGAGAGAUGGAUAGAUAGAUAAUAUCUGAAACACACACUAGAGAUAUUUAGGAGUUGUCACAAUACAUAUGGUUGCUGGAGUUCCCGUCGUGGCAUAGUGGUUAACGAAUCCGACUAGGAACCAUGAGGUUGCGGGUUUGAUCCCUGGCCUCACUCAGUGGGUUAAGGAUCCGGCGUUGCCGUGAGCUGUGGUGUAGGAUGUAGACGCGGCAUGGAUCCCACGAUGCUGUGGCUCUGGCAAAGGCAGGCGGCUACAGCUCCAAUUAGACCCCUAGCCCGGGAACCUCCAUAUGCUGCAGGAGAGGCCCUAGAAAAGACAAAAAAAAAAAGAAAAAAAAA
ensembl:lncRNA